CUCGCCCGGUGAGCUCAACCAUCGCGACGGUUCAGGUCGCCGCCGGUCAGAUCGCCGGUGACCUGAACCGUCGCGUGGUUAUGCUCGCCGGCGAGU
rnacentral:pre_miRNA from 1 species